rnacentral:rRNA from 1 species
GCGUGGAUGAAGAAGGCCCUAGGGUUGUAAAAUCCUUUCGGUGGUGAAGAUAAUGACGGUAACCACACAAGAAGCCCCGGCUAAUUUCGUGCCAGCAGCCGCGGUAAUACGAAAGGGGCUAGCGUUGUUCGGAAUUACUGGGCGUAAAGCGCGCGUAGGCGGCCUGGUAAGUUGGGGGUGAAAUCCCGGGGCUCAACCCCGGAAUUGCCUUCAAAACUACUAAGCUUGAGGCUGCGAGAGGUGAGCGGAAUUCCGAGUGUAGAGGUGAAAUUCGU